AAGAAUGCAAAAUCAUACCAAGUUAUCAGUUGAUUUCCCAUUGAAGAUCAUGAAAAACAAUUUUUAAAAGUUUUUAUUUUUUUUAAAGACAGAAGCUUUGCAUGGCAGGUACUGAUGGGAAAAUGUUGAAGGAGAAUAGUGCCAUAGACAGCGUCUUAAAUAGGUAUCAGUAAAAUGUUAACAUUACUUCUUUGAAUACUCUUGGAAACAUGAAAUGGAUAGGU
rnacentral:lncRNA from 1 species